UACGUAGGGUCCGAGCGUUGUCCGGAAUUAUUGGGCGUAAAGGGCUCGUAGGCGGUUCGUCAUGUCGGGAGUGAAAACUCGGGGCUUAACCCCGAGCCUGCUUCCGAUACGGGCAGACUAGAGGUAGGCAGGGGAGAGCGGAACUCCUGGUGUAGCGGUGGAAUGCGCAGAUAUCAGGAAGAACACCGGUGGCGAAGGCGGAC
rnacentral:rRNA from 1 species